UACGAAAGGGGGGCGAGCGUUGUUCGGAAUUACUGGGCGUAAAGGGCGCGCAGGCGGCUCUGAAAGUCAGAUGUGAAAGCCCCGGGCUUAACCUGGGAAUUGCAUUUGAUACUCUGGAGCUUGAGUACGGGGAGAGGAGAGUGGAAUUCCCAGUGUAGAGGUGAAAUUCGUAGAUAUUGGGGAAGAACACCGGUGGCGAAGGCGGCUCACUGGCCCGGUACUGACGCUGAGGCACGAAAGCGUGGGGAGCAAACAGG
rnacentral:rRNA from 1 species